AAAAUUGGAGUUCGUAUGCGAAAGUUAUGGCUGUUUUACGAACGGACUCUGAAUUAGAGGACAAAACGGUCCGGAAGUGGGAAAAAAUUGCGGUGGUGGCUAGAAAUUGAUGGAAAUAGUGGGAAAAACACAUUAACUGGACUGUAACAAGACCUAACCAGUAACAAGACCUCGACCGGGACACAAAGUCAACACUACAGACUCUGAAACUGAAAUAUGCAAAGGCUAUGGUGCGGAUGGGUUGUAGGACAUGAAAACAAUAUGGCACUAGACUUAUGGGACGAACACACGGACACUUCAAACUAAGGGUAGAUGUAUAACGGUAUGUCUGAAGCUUUGAUUACCACUUGAGGAGAACAAGUGUGGCCCGAUCUUCCGAAAGUUUCUGGUAACUAUCGAUUUGGUGGAAACGAGAGACAUAUCAAUCCAACUUGCGAACAACACAAUUCGAAAUCCUGCAAUUCUUUUUAUUUUUUUUUAUAUUUUUGUUUUACUAAGGAGCACUCAAGAAGUAACCACAGGAAAUUUGAGCUUAAACAAGUGAAAGACAUGGCCUGUGCAAUUUUUUGAAGAUUGUGAAAAAUAUGAAAAAAACAUUAGGAGGUGAAAACUCAAACUUCAGAGGUG
rnacentral:lncRNA from 1 species